GGUUCUGCUUCGCUCAGCAUUGCUGUUUGUAUGUCCUGAGACCCCCCUAGCACCAGGUCGCCCCACAUCUGCUGCCUGAGGACAUUGGUUUCUAUAUGACUCCUGAACUGCUGAGCCCGGGCUAGUCCCCCGAUCCGCCACCACGCACAGGGUCUUUUACCGCUCUCCUGCCUCUCCACGGUUCGUCCCUCCCGACAUCCAUGACAAUAGGGGCCUUAUUAAGGUUUCGGAGUACUCAAAAGAAUUGAAAGUACCACGAGGCCCAGGACCAAACCUGACCCAGACACAUCUCUGGAUGUCCCAUCCGAAACAUCCACAGGAGAAAGACAGUUAUUUAGUGCAUUGCCAGACUUGCUGCAGAAGCAAGAAGCUGCGAGCAGGAAAAGCAUGAGUCAGCCCCUGCUCUGGGACGGCCACUCCCCCCCUCCGAUUUCCCUGGAAGCCUUUAAUCCCAAAGCAGCCGCAAGGGAUGGAAGCAAAGAAUCUCCAAAUGCAAGUCAGGACCCCAGCUUCACACCUGUAGAAUGGCGCUGGUUUCUAUACAGUAUUACAUACUGUACAUUGGCGGUAUGGUGGCUCUGAGGCUCAGGCUCUGUGGCUGGCAGGUUGCCGGUUCGUAUCCCGCGGCCGGCAGAGGAAUCCUACUCUUUUGGGCCCCUGAGCAAGGCCCU